rnacentral:ncRNA from 1 species
AUAAUGAUACUUCCGUCUUUCUUUGAAUGGGCGGCUCGGAGCGAUCCUCGGAGGGGUGAGAGUCCCAUGA